GCCCAGAUGGCGGAAUUGGUAGACGCGUUGGUCUCAAACACCAAUGGGGAGACCCGUGCCGGUUCGACCCCGGCUCUGGGUACAA
rnacentral:tRNA from 1 species